UGGGGAAUCUUGCACAAUGGGCGAAAGCCUGAUGCAGCAACGCCGCGUGCGGGAUGAAGGCCUUAGGGUUGUAAACCGCUUUCAGCAGGGAAGAAAAUGACGGUACCUGUAGAAGAAGGUGCGGCCAACUACGUGCCAGCAGCCGCGGUGAUACGUAGGCACCAAGCGUUGUCCGGAUUUAUUGGGCGUAAAGAGCUCGUAGGCGGUUCGGUAAGUCGGGUGUGAAAACUCUGGGCUCAACCCAGAGAGGCCACCCGAUACUGCCGUGACUGGAGUGCGGUAGGGGAGUGGGGAAUUCCUGGUGUAGCGGUGAAAUGCGCAGAUAUCAGGAGGAACACCAGUGGCGAAGGCGCCACUCUGGGCCGUAACUGACGCUGAGGAGCGAAAGCGUGGGUAGCAAACAGG
rnacentral:rRNA from 1 species